rnacentral:lncRNA from 1 species
GCGAUGACCCCUGAUUUUGGCACACAUUUGAGGGAGUCGUGCCUCCCUCUUUGGAUAAAACCGAUUUCUUCAAUUUUGAGCAGCCAUGCAAAGAGGGCUUUCAAUUCGACGAUAGUAGAAAAAAAUCACCCCCGGUAAAGUUGGGUGAACACACGUCAGCGGAUUUUUCAAAUUUUCAAGCCCAAAAUUUACCCCAAAACAGUGGUUCGGAGGAUUUUAGAAACUCCAACGAGGAAAAAGCGAUUUUCCACGACACAAGUUAUUACCGUGCAGCCUCAUCCUUCGACCACACUUUCGAUUAUUUUCAUGACGAGGAUGAAUACUUGAUGCCACUGGAAAGACUUGACGAUGUAAGCACUACUGAAUCAACGAAUUUGUUUAACACUUUCAUCGAAGCGGAUAUUGCUCCAAUAGAACCAGAUACUGUUGAAACAACAUCUGCAAAUGAUUUGGAAAAUUCGGCUGAAACCCAAAAUGGGUAUGAGAUGAAUCCGAUUUUAACAUCGCAGAAACAUACUCCGGAAAAUUUAGAUGUAACUUUCUCACCUGCUCCAAAGACUAGCGGUGAGGUUGAGGUGUCCGAUGAAAUUUUCAGAAAAAUUCCACGGAAUUAUCGCAGGUUUGAUGAAAGUAAAUCUAAAUUAUCGAACGAAAAAACCUCGGAAUAUUCCAAGCAAGGCCUCGAAUCUGAUUCUUUUCGGCGAAGCUUAAAUUCUCCUGAGAUGUUCGGACACUGUACUUCUAGCGGAGAGGGGAUCCCUACUCAACUGAGUCUUGUAUCUAUUGCACCAGAAUCCGCAGAUCCAGAUGUAAUUGAAAGCAUCUAUGAUAAGAACUCGUAUUCAGGAAUGUUCAGUAGUGAACCUUCUUAUAUGUUGCUCAAUCUUGACAAAGAUUUGACCUUAAAACGGGUCAAAUGACUUCCUCGAACACCCACGCAUUCCUCACUGCUGUAAACCCUCAGCCUCUGAGUCCUGAAGUUUCAAGUACUUUUGAAAGUUCUAUCGCAGAAACGGGAAAGAAUGAAAAAUCUCGCAAGAUCAGUAGAGGAACACAUGACUUGCAUUCAGCCGCUGAAUCAAAACAAGAAACUGCCGAUAGUGAAGACAGUGAUUCCACUCAAAACACAAAUAGAAAUUCCAAGACUGAUCACGCCACCUCAAAUUUGAGUAGGUCAGCGCCUCAGUUUUCCGCUAGUGUAACGGACGAACUGAUUGCCAGUCAAAACAAAUCAAAGAGUCUUGAUGUAACUCUAAAUCCACUCGAUGUUAAGACAUAUCUUCCGGAUAAUAUCAGAUCUCUGCUGGGCGGUAUUAAUUUGAAAAACAUGAACAUGUCUGAAAUCUUUCGUAACGCGAGGAAGCGACUGUCAGCCUCAAAUCUGCGAUGGGGAAAAUUAGACGAUUUCAAACCGAGGGAAUUUGGUGCUUUUCUUGAGGAAGAUGCGGUUCCUAAAUGUGAGCUGACCUCUUCUGCACAAGUCACCGGAAAUGAGGCCUUGCAGGAAAACAUAGAGGAAAACCUGAACACAACUUUGCCGGAAAAAUCGCGCUGCAGCCAUACGAUAAGUUUAAAAGCUAAAAAUGAUUCCUCAAACGAUCAGCCCGUGCUGAAUUAUGCUGUGAGCGUAUCGUCUGAGGAAACCCCAAACAUUAAUGCGAACAUCUCAUAUGCCACCUCCAUGGUACCCCAAAAAGCCAACGCACCCUCAAAAAUUCGGCCUUCAGAGCCCGUUGCAACAAAUAAUGUUUUAGAAAGUAGAACCAGGGAGAAGACCCCGACUUAUUACCAAAACUUGCCCUACUCCCCUCGCUCCAUUCAGAAUACACCUUAUGCACCGAUUAUAGUCCACAACAUGCCGUUCUUCCCACGCAAUGUUCAAAACAUGCCUUUCGCCCCCAUAAACUCACAAACCCCUCAAACUCUAGAAGAAUCUCACAGCAUAGAUAAUGCUCAAAGUUCGAGCCCCAUACGAAUUGUUGGGGCCUCCGGUGCUGACGCGCUUACCUCUGGAUUCGCACCCAUUAACGUACAAAAUUUGCCAUAUUCGACUGCCAUCGCACAAGGAGUUUCUCAACGUAAAUUUUACGACGCAGAUUUACAGUCGACGACCUCUCACCCUGAAAAGGUGACCCUGGUUCGAAAUCCCUCAAAAGUACGUAAAAAUUUGACGAUAGGGGUCAACGACACUACGAGUGAGAGACAAUCUAAGAGUCAAGGAACAACAUCACUACCCAUGCCCUCUGAUGUGAGAGAGGGAGAAGAAUUUUCAACUUUUGGCCAGUCGGGUGUUUUCAUUCAAAGCCUGCCAUUCUCAGCUUCUGUCACUCAGGAAACUUUGGAGAACAGUGCCCCCUUGGAUGCGGGUCAUUUCGUUCAAAAUGUACCAAUCUCGCCCUCGCUAACUCAGGAGCGAAAAUUCUCGCGACAACCCUCAACUAAAUCUGCGCAAAGCAUUGCAUCAGUGGAUGAUGAUGUUUGUCAAACCAUGGCUGACAAGGAAAGCAAUGCUGAAAUUCCAAUUGAUUUCAUCGCUAACGAUCCAGGCGUUGAUCAUUUUAAAUCAAUAGCUGAAAAUGUGUUCUCAGCGCUUCAUGAAGGGAUCAAAGUGGUUGGCUCGAGGUAUCGACCAGCUACCCUCGAGGAAAAAAAUGAGUCUCAACAGAGGGUUCAUCCGUACCCGGAAAUUGAGACGUUUCCGGUGGUUGCUAAUUCAGGGGGACAUUUGGAGAGUGAUCCCCAAAAAAUCACCAAGUCCCAAGUAUUGCUGUUGGAAAACCAAAGUCCCACGGGAACCCAGACUCAGCCAAUGAUACAGUUUCUGUACCAAGUCUUCAACGUAGGGACGUGCAAUAAUCAAUAAAAAUGAUUUGA